CUCAAAAGCAUCAGAGAUUGAGAGAGUUGACAAGUCACAAUUGAAACUAUGGUUUAAAUCCAAGCUCAUCAUAGCAAGCUCCCAAGUCAAUCUGAAAUUGCUUCAGCACAUUCUUCAGGGCAGUUUGAGCAUCAGGACCAAAGCCAUCAAGCUUCUCUGCUGCCACUGUGACAAUGACUUCACUGAUGAUCUGAAAA